rnacentral:lncRNA from 1 species
UGUGGCUUUUCAUAAUGAAUUGGCUGGCUGACAGGACUCAACGCUUGUUGUUAGGUGUGGCUUUUCAUAAUGAAUUGGCUGGCUGACAGGACUCAGUGCUUGUUGUUAGGUGUGGCUUUUCAUAAUGAAUUGGCUGGCUGACAGGACUCAGUGCUUGUCGUUAGGUGUAGCUUUUCAUAAUGAAUUGGCUGGCUGACAGGACUCAGUGCUUGUCGUUAGGUGUAGCUUUUCAUAAUGAAUUGGCUGGUUGACAGGACUCAGUGCUUGUUGUGAGGUGUGGCUUUUCAUAAUGAAUUGGCUGGCUGACAGGACUCAGUGCUUGUUGUUAGGUGUGGUUUUCAUAGACAAUGUGUGUUUACUAUAAGAGAAAGCAAAGCAGGUUGCACUAAAUGAACGUAUGAUAUGACAUGCUAACCAUCACAUCUUCAGUACUAUAGACAGGAUGGUGGGUUUAAUGGAUUUACAUUUUUGUAGACGAUUCCAUUUUAAAGUGUCGUCAGUCUUAGUGUUAUUCACAUGAAGUGUUCCUGCCCUCGACUUGGUGCUUUGUGUAAACUGAUUAUGCUCACAGAGGAGGUUAAUGACUUUAAUGAUGGUUCUAUCUACAGAAGGGAGAGAGAGAGGGAGACAGGGAAGAGAGGGAGACAGAGAAGAGAGAGGGAGACAGAGAAGAGAGGGAGACAGAGAAGAGAGGGAGACAGAGAAGAGAGGGAGACAGAAGAGAGGGAGACAGAAGAGAGGGAGACAGGGAAGAGAGGGAGACAGAGAAGAGAGAGGGAGACAGAGAAGAGAGGGAGACAGAGAAGAGAGAGGGAGACAGAGAAGAGAGAGGGAGACAGAGAAGAGAGGGAGACAGAGAAGAGAGGGAGACAGAGAAGAGAGGGAGACAGAGAAGAGAGGGAGACAGAAGAGAGGGAGACAGAAGAGAGGGAGACAGAAGAGAAGGACACAGAGAUGGGGACAGAGAAGAGUGAGGGAGACAGAGAAGAGAGAGAGACAGAAGAGAGAGGGAGAGAAGGAAGAGGCAGAAAAGAGCGCGAGAGAGAGGGAGAGAAGGAAGAGAGAGGGAGAGAAGAAAGAGAGAGGGAGAGAAGGAAGAGAGAGGGAGGGAGAGAGAGAGUCCGAGAUGACCAAUUAAUCCAGCAUUUCAAAUAAACUCAUCAGCUCUUCCACAGCUCACCUCAAGAGACUGACGUGAGGGGAAAAUUAUAAAACUGCUAAAUAAAAUGUCUUCCUGGCAAAAACAUUAUUUCGGACACUUUCUUCCCUCCUCCAUGCUAGAAAUAAUUGACUGAAGCUAAAUUAUGGCCGGGCUUUUAUACAUCAUCCACAGUUUAAGUGCAGCAUCUCACUUGAUUAUCC